rnacentral:rRNA from 1 species
AAUCAACGCUGGCGGCGUGCCUAACACAUGCAAGUCGAACGCGAAAACCCCGCAAGGGGUUAGUAGCGUGGCAAACGGGUGAGUAACACGUGGGUGACCUGCCUUCGAGCGGGGGAUAACGUCCCGAAAGGGACGCUAAUACCGCAUGACAUCCUGCCUUUGAAGAGGUGGAGAUCAAAGCCGGGGAUCGCAAGACCUGGCACUUGAAGAGGGGCCCGCGCCUGAUUAGCUAGUUGGGAGGUAAUGGCUCACCAAGGCAACGAUCAGUAUCCGGCCUGAGAGGGCGGACGGACACACUGGGACUGAGACACGGCCCAGACUCCUACGGGAGGCAGCAGUGGGGAAUUGUUCGCAAUGGGCGCAAGCCUGACGACGCAACGCCGCGUGGAGGAUGAAGACC